GUGUACAUGAUGAGGCUGGCUGCAUCUUACAACUCCGUCUUCUGCAGACGCACCUGGCGCACCUAAGCCACUGAAAGCAAGGAUAUGUUCCAGGACGGAAUACUGGCAGCAGUGAAUGAACAUAAGAACUCCGGCUAAACCGUCGGAUGAGCUUUGUCUCAAAACAAAGACUGAACGCUGCACCACAUCCUCAAGAUCUGUUUUCACACCGUCUCAUACUUGUACGCGUGGCUAGGUGAAAUGAUAUUGAAAAAUAUUUAAAGUACAUCGCAAGCCAUUUUGAUCUACAUUCUUAUUUUAUGGCACAUUCACUUUUUAUGGCACAUUUUAUGAUACAUUCUUAUUUUAUGGCACAUAGAAGAAUGUAUAUAAAGGAGACAAGAUUUGAGUACAAGUGACAGAAUACAGUAGAAACUACUAAAUAAAGAAUGGCUUGCAUGUG